rnacentral:piRNA from 1 species
UUGAUUGGUAAUAAAAAAUGAAAGGC